GGAUUGCCCUAGUAACGGCGAGUGAAGCGGCAACAGCUCAAAUUUGAAAUCUGGCUCUUUCAGAGUCCGAGUUGUAAUUUGCAGAGGGCGCUUUGGCGUUGGCAGCGGUCCAAGUUCUUUGGAACAGGACGUCACAGAGGGUGAGAAUCCCGUACGUGGUCGCUAGCCUUCGCCGUGUAAAGCCCCUUCGACGAGUCGAGUUGUUUGGGAAUGCAGCUCUAAAUGGGAGGUAAAUUUCUUCUAAAGCUAAAUACUGGCCAGAGACCGAUAGCGCACAAGUAGAGUGAUCGAAAGAUGAAAAGCACUUUGGAAAGAGAGUCAAAUAGCACGUGAAAUUGUUGAAAGGGAAGCGCUUGCAGCCAGACUUGCCUGUAGUUGCUUAUCCGGACUUUUGUCCGGUGCACUCUUCUGCGGGCAGGCCAGCAUCAGUUUGGGCGGUUGGAUAAAGGUCUCUGUCAUGUACCUCCUUUCGGGGAGGCCUUAUAGGGGAGACGACAUGCAACCAGCCUGGACUGAGGUCCGCGCAUCUGCUAGGAUGCUGGCGUAAUGGCUGUAAGCGGCCCGUCUUGAAACACGGACCAAGGAGUCUAACAUCUAUGCGAGUGUUUGGGUGUGAAGCCCAGACGCGUAAUGAAAGUGAACGGAGGUGGGAACCUUUUAGGUGCACCAUCGACCGAUCCUGAUGUCUUCGGAAGGAUUUGAGUAAGAGCAUGGCUGUUGGGACCCGAAAGAUGGUGAACUAUGCUUGAAUAGGGUGAAGCCAGAGGAAACUCUGGUGGAGGCUCGCAGCGGUUCUGACGUGCAAAUCGAUCGUCAAAUUUGGGCAUAGGGGCGAAAGACUAAUCGAACUAUCUAGUAGCUGGUUCCUGCCGAAGUUUCCCUCAGGAUAGCAGUAACGUAUUCAGUUUUAUGAGGUAAAGCGAAUGAUUAGAGGCCUGGGGGGUUGAAACAACCUUCACCUAUUCUCAAACUUUAAAUAUGUAAGAAGUCCUUGUUACUUGAUU
rnacentral:rRNA from 2 species